rnacentral:piRNA from 1 species
UGGAAUAACAUUUGGAAGUAGUAGACUU